rnacentral:ribozyme from 14 species
UUUCUCCUUUGCUGUUUUUCCCAUAAUGAUCCAGCCAGCCCCCAUCAUGAUGCUGGUGAGGGGGGAAACAACGAAGGUGCUGCUGCUGCUGCAGUUCUUUGAUGAUGACCAAGAAAAAAUGGAUGAUAACCGGGGGAGAGUCAGCAUAGCUUUUCUUUUUCUUAGUAGAUUAUUAUUAAAAAAAAAAAAAAAAAG